rnacentral:rRNA from 1 species
GAUGAACGCUGGCGGCGUGCCUAACACAUGCAAGUCGAACGGAGUCCAGCCUUUAAGACCUUCGGGUCAAAGAGGGGAAGACUGAGUGGCGGACGGGUGAGUAACACGUGGGCAACCUGGCUCAUAGAGGGGGAUAACAGAGAGAAAUUUCUGCUAAUACCGCAUAAGCACACACUGCCGCAUGGCAGAGGGUGAAAAGAGAAUCGCUAUGAGAUGGACCCGCGUCUGAUUAGCCAGUUGGCAGGGUAAGAGCCUACCAAAGCGACGAUCAGUAGCCGAUCUGAGAGGAUGAACGGCCACAUUGGGACUGAGACACGGCCCAAACUCCUACGGGAGGCAGCAGUGGGGGAUAUUGCACAAUGGGGGGAACCCUGAUGCAGCGACGCCGCGUGAGUGAAGAAGUUUUUCGGUAUGUAAAGCUCUAUCAGCAGGGAAGAUAAUGACAGUACCUGAAUAAGAAGCCCCGGCUAACUACGUG